rnacentral:lncRNA from 1 species
AUAUCCCUUUUCAUACAAGUUACACCUGUUGCUAGAAAGCGAUUCUGCCAGUUUAAUCAAGCCACGCCCCUUCUGAGAUUUUUCCCAGGGAUUAUUUUGCUUAUCAACCCCAGCAGAUCAAACACCUUGACCUGGCCAGGCAUGAGCCAUCACACCCAGCCUCAUUGUUUAUUAAAGCACUUUUUAUUGAGCAAUAUUUAUUACCUUCCAGGCACUUUUCUGGGCACUUGGGAUACAACAGCAUAACAGACAGAGGUAGGCCCUGCCCUUGUGGAGCUCAGAGUCCACUGGGGAUGAAGCUGGCAAGGGAGAAAUGUGACAAAAGGCUUCUUUCCGAGGUUUUAUUAAUGUCAAGACUCAAAGGAUGAGAAGGAGCUUGGCACGUGCAGACCAAGGAGAACAGCAUUCCAAGUGGAGUUAAUGGCAGACGCAAAGACACUGAGGCAGGAAAGACCUUAGGAUGUUGUAGGAAUGGAGAGCACAGUGGAGUGGCCAAAGUGUUGCAAGAAAUGUUAAGGUCAUGAGAGGUGGGUUUGGCAAGGCAGCAGAGAUUAGAUCACACGGUGCCCUGGUGUUCUAGAGUUUGCACGUUCUCCACCCCUCUUUAUCAUGUCCUCCUGCUUUAUUUUCCUCCUAAGUCUUACUCUUGUCUGAAAUUACCUCAUUUAUGAAUUAAAUUAUUUUUUGUUUCAUGCCACCCUCUGGAUACCUCUCCUGCUCACUGCUGUUCCCCCACCACUUAGCACCAUGCCCAGCAGAGCUAGCUACAUAAUUUACCAGACUCUACAUAUCUUUUCUGUGUCUAUAGCCAAAUACCACAGACUGGCCUUGCCUAAUCUAGCCCAACUUGCUGCUGAAACUGGCUAUCAACAUUCCGAUUGUCCUUCAACAGUGAAAACAUUUUUACCAUACAAUCAGAAAUGUCCCACUAGUUCUCUCAGUCGACUCUCCAACCCAGUAAGAAAAGG